rnacentral:rRNA from 1 species
UAGCUGUGUCCUUCGGGACAAGGAGACAGGUGGUGGCAUGGUUGUCGUCAGCUCGUGUCGUGAGAUGUUGGGUUAAGUCCCGCAACGAGCGCAACCCCUGUGGUUAGUUGCCAGCAAGUAGCGUUGGGCACUCUAGCCAGACUGCCGGUGAUAAAUCGGAGGAAGGUGGGGACGACGUCAAAUCAUCAUGCCCUUUAUGUCCUGGGCUACACACGUACUACAAUGGCCGUUACAACGGGAAGCGAAGGAGCAAUCCGGAGCAAAUCCCUUAAAGGCGGUCCCAGUUCAGAUUGUGGGCUGAAACUCGCCCACAUGAAGGCGGAAUUGCUAGUAAUUGCAGAUCAGCAUGCUGCAGUGAAUACGUUCCCGGGCCUU